GACGAACGCUGGCGGCGUGCUUAACACAUGCAAGUCGAACGGAAAGGCCCUGCUUUUGUGGGGUGCUCGAGUGGCGAACGGGUGAGUAACACGUGAGUAACCUGCCCUUGACUUUGGGAUAACUUCAGGAAACUGGGGCUAAUACCGGAUAGGAGCUCCUGCUGCAUGGUGGGGGUUGGAAAGUUUCGGCGGUUGGGGCUGGACUCGCGGCUUAUCAGCUUGUUGGUGGGGUAGUGGCUUACCAAGGCUUUGACGGGUAGCCGGCCUGAGAGGGUGACCGGCCACAAUGGUACUGCGAUACGGAGCAGUAUCCUACGGGAGGCAGCAGUCGGGAAUAUUGCACAAUGGGCCGAAGUCUGAUGCAGCAACGUCGCGUGCGGGAUGACGGCCUUCGGGUUGUAAACCGCUUUCGAAGGUGACGAAGCGUGCGUGACGGUAAUUGGUAAAGAAGCACCGGCUAACUACGUG
rnacentral:rRNA from 1 species